UCCCUCUUAGCUCAGUGUUAGAGCGCUUCACUAGUAUCCGCAAAAUUCGUGUCCGCUAUGAAGAGGUCAGUCGUUCAAGUCGGCUAGAGGGAA